GAGUGGAAGGAGGCUGCCUUGUGGAGAGGAGGGGACUAGGACUCCUAUCUAACACAAGAAGAUUCUAGCUAUGUCAAGCAGAAAAAGGAAGGCCACUGACACUGCUGGCAGGCACUCAAGGAUGGAUCCAAAUCUCUCCUCAGAUGACAGCCAGAACCCAGGUGCAGUCGCAGCAGCUAACAGAGAAGUCCUUGAUGCUGGUAGGGAGGACAUUAUUUCCUCAGGAACAGAGAGGCAACAGGCCAGGAAGGAAAAACAGGAUUUGGUCCAAGAAUUCGAAGAGCCACCUAACAAAGUUCUUCAGGAAAACAGAGAAAGAUUCUCAAGGAUCAUGACCUCAUCUUUCAGUGCCAUGGAGGUCAAAAUUAAGGAUGUUCUGAAAACCCACUGUGAAGAGAGGUAGGGUUGUUGCUUCUUGUCACUUUGAUCCCAGAGCUGUUGACAGUUGGUUUGUGAGCACAAUGAAGGGGGAAUAGCCAGUGGCCCCACUGGCUAGAAGCUUUGUUGGCAAGUGAACUUGCCUUGAUUUUUCUGUAGGACAGACUUUGUUUUGUCUUAUACCCUCCCGUUGUACUGAAGUCAGUCAACUGCGUUUCCUAAGGAUGAACUAAGAUGUUUUGACACAGGGCAGUUGAAUCAGUGUAACAGUAAGUAAGGUGUGCGCAUUGUGUGAAAGUUCUGGGUACAUUGAGCUUGAAAUCCUCAAAUCAUCCAUCCUGGAGUCCUUCAUCUCUUCAGUGUGAAAUGAAAUGAAAAUCUCUAGCCUCCAAUGUUGUACAGGUUUCCGGAGGAGCCCAGUUCACCAUACAGGUAUGCUGAAAUCCUCACAGGUACAGUGAUGAAGAGUGGGUAGGCGUCCACAGAAUUCUCUGAUGGUUGUGGGUGUGCAUCCUCAUUGGACCUAUCUUUAUAAUGGGAAAAUUAAGCAGGGGUUGUGCUCGUCAGAGAGACUAAUACUUGUGGAAUGCUACUAAGACAAUCCUGAGUUUUCUAGCACUAAGAGCUGUGAAGUGACUCCUGUCUCGGCCAAGGAGGAACACAUGCUAUUAGCCUGGUAGGAACUAAUCCACCUCAUUUUCCAUUUCCCUGUCAGAAUAUUUUAGAUCUCCUUUCCCAGUCUUGCAUUUAGUGAAGGAAAGUCAGUCGUGCUGUGUUUGAAUGGGCUUUCUUCAUGUCGAGAAGGAAUAUCACAGUGUUCACGUUGUCUUUUACAGGCAGAAACUUUGUCAGGACUAUUCUCUUCAGUUUACAAAUUUGAAUAGGAAGUUAACUUCGGAUGCAUACAAACUCAAGAAACAUGCCGAAACACUCUCUAAUAUGUUUAUGGAGCAACAGAAGUUUAUUCAUGAAAGUCUCACUCUUCAGAAGAACAGAAUGAAGGAAUUUAAAUCACUGUGUGAAAAAUACUUGGAGAAACUGGAGGUACUGAGGGAUUCUCGGGGAAAUUCCAUCGCUGAAGAGCUGAGACGUCUCAUAGCCACCUUGGAAAUCAAACUUCUGAUGCUGCAUAACCAGCAAAAGACUGCUGCUCCUCCACAGUCUCUCCUGGAUGUGUUAUUCUCAUAAAACUUUGGAGCACAAAAGCCGAUAUGAGGGGAGCAGUAUAAUCAUCUGGGUGAAGCUGCUAGUGCUGAUGAUUGCAGCUUCGGUGCCUGGAUCUUCUCCUGUCUUCCUCCUGUUCCUGAAGAUGCCCCGUUCUGUUAAAUCCAAAUAAACCCUGGGAUUUGUGUGACAGCAGUGCAAAUAUGUCUGUAGGGAACUCCAGCCCUCGGGUAGAGAUGGCAGGCUUUCCUUGGUAGCAUCGCAAUUACUGGUUAGCACACAUUGGUGUUGAUACAGUAGAUUAUCAUACCUGAACAUCAUCUCCCCAAAUUGGAAGGCACACAAGUGGGCUAUUGUUGUCGUGUCCAGAUAAAUAAUUAGAGAAGAUACAGGCUUUCUUUGACAUUCUGCUCUGAAAUGUGUUCAGUGAUGGAGCCUAUGAAACUGACCUUCAGCCUCCAAAGGCAGUGUGCUCUUAAUAGUUAAAGUAGUAGAAUUCAUCAAACCUCCCGAGUAAGAAAGAUGUGAGUAACGUGGCUUGAAUCAGUGGAAAUGCCAUUUGCAGACAACAUUUACAAGGUCUUUCAAUUAAAUGAAUCUGUCACACUAAGAGGUGAUUCUGAACAUGAAUACAGCUUAAUUCACCAUGGUUUAUUAAUCCCUCACUUGUAUGGAUAGGAGUAACUUAGAAUGUUUUGUUUGUGGAAUUUAUCGCACAUGUAGUAUGGGAUCAUCAGGGAUAUUAUAUAUGAGGUCUCGUGUACAGUUAAAGCUCGCGUCCUGUGAUUUCCUGUAUGGAUACCCUGGGAAAUCCUUACUUGGGAACGUUUGAUUUAAUAAACAUGAAAUAGUUUCAGACUUGUUGGCAUGAGUCAUUUAAUUGCAUUCUCUUUCUGACAUCCCUGACGUUUCACCCCUUCUCAGACAGACAUGGCCCCAUGCCAUGUGGAGGUGUGCUGUCACCUGUGUUCCUGCAUGGGGCCAGUGUAGUCCAGGCCACUUGUCUCAUUGUGUCCCGUUGUGUAGAAGCAUUGAAAACAGGCUGUGUUCAGCCUCCCCCAUUUUCUCCAAGUUGAAUUGCAUUCCUCCAGACUGAAUGAGGGCUUCCCUGCUGGGAUCAUUUUACUGUCUAAAGUUUGCAUUAUCUAGAAGAACUUCCCCCUUUGUGCAAACUACCUGUAACCCUGUGGGCCUUUAGUAUUAUUUCUUUAAUAAUCAUUAAUCAUAAUAAAAUGUUGUAUUAUUAGCA